CAGGCCUGUGCGUUCCAAUUUUGCAGAAUUACCUUCCCUGGUUGGAACCCAAUCCCCCAACCCCAGGCUCUGCAGACAUCCUCCCUCAUCAACUCCUGUCCCCUUUUCUCUCUCUGUCAAGCUGUUCCUCCUUACCGAGCUCUGUUGUGAUCUGGGGCACCUGAGGAAUUAAUCGUGCCUCUGGUGUCUUUGCCUAACCACAGGUGAAUGUCUCGGCCCGCUUUUCAGCUGGCUCCGCCCCCUGGACGCCUUCUCUUAAACGGGGGAGCUCCGAGAUGGAAAGAUCCAGAGAUGCUGACAUAUGAGAAGAAGCUUGUUCUGACAAUUUCCAGAUUAGUUUGGUGGAUGAAUUUCAUGAAUUCUGGAGUGAGGAGAGCCUUGGAUGAUUUAUUUCCUCCUAUAUUCCUGAGAUAUGACCCUGGAUGGAUGCCCAAGGUGUAACGUACAAGAACUAUCAAAGACUUCAGUAUCAGAAUCUCCGAUAUGAAGCAGUAUGAAGUCACUGUCUCCCUGGGAAGAGAGGAAGAGAGUUAAAAGGAAGGAGCCCAUCAGUCAUUCUUACAGAUGAGGAAACUGAGGCACAGAGAACAUAAAAAGGCUCGCCCAGCUUGACAAAGGUAAUUAAUGUGAACAUGAAUUCAAGUUUAUUUUCAGCCUGGGGCGCUUUCUUUCCCCCUUCCUACUACGCCAUACUGCUCCUUCGCUUGCUAAUUUUUUAAAAAAGAUGAUGGAAGGAAAACUUUCUAGAAGUCUAGAGAAAGUUUCCUACUCACAAGUUUAAGGCCUAUAGCAAGGGGUGAGGUAGGGGCAAGGUGAGGUGACAGAUGUGCAUGGGAGGGGAGAGCCCAGGAGCUUGAAGCCAGUUGCACAGCUCGGGUCCCGGUGGAGCCUACUUUCUCUAUAGCUACAGGUUAUCUCUUCUAAGGUAGGUCAAGUAGAAUCUUUAAAUGGCUGCUUCUUUAGACUUAUAGCUAUUUUAAUUUAACUCCAGGUGCUCAGAGGAGUACUUUUAUUUAACUUCAAUAGAGCAUAGCUUUAUUAAAGUCAAAUAAGAAAUAGGAAAAAAGGGAAGCCACAGAAAAUAUGCCAAUGGAAACUCUUAUUUGAGAAAUGACCAGAUAUUAUAUGUGUUUCAUUUUAAUUUAUUUCUUGAGCAUUGAAUGAAAUUUUAGGCCCACCUGAGAAGCAAAAUAAGAUUAGCCUGCCGAACAAUAGGUAACCAGGUUAAAAAAAAAAGACAGCAAAAUUUGCAGAGAUAAAAGUUUAAUUAUGUCCUAGUUGCUUGCUGAGAUCUGGAAAUCAAUGUAGUUAUUUCAAUAUAAUUCUUGGUGGGCUAUCAAAUGACAUGAGGGAUCUUUGUACCCCUUCUCUUAAAAUAUAACCACCAUAAAAUAAUUAACAAUAAUGGAGUUGACAUUAGAUUAGUGUAGCUAACCUUAGGUUGGUAGUGGAAUUGCUUUUUGAAUGAAAGAGAAGAAAAAAAAAUUAAGAGCAGACCUCUGUGUGAGUGAAAUAGCAAGGAACGUGCCUGGAACUCAGAAGAUAUUUUAUCCUUUGUCUCAGUGUGGAAUAAAAUUCUAAAAUCUGCUCAAGACUUUCUUUUAGAAAAAAUUUUUGAAAAAUGCCUUAAAUGAAAAAUCUGGGUGAUAGAAAUGGAUCACUUUAAUAUAUUUUAGAUUGCAAGUAAAAUAUUUAACAUACCAUGUUGCAAAAACUGAUCAGCACAAUUUUCUCUUUUGACAGGGGCUGUGGGGAUGGUGGUGUCCUGGGAUUUUG